UACUCGUCUGACAAAAAAUCAACAACAGUGAUGGCAUCUAAAUGAACCCGACAACAUUAUAAACUAUGCCAUACUGUACCUCAUUCAAAUAAUGUCACAUAUCCAGUUUUACACGUUUCAAAUGUAAUUUUUUAUACAUUGUUUUCAUAAAGGAAGAGAAUAAAUAUACUUCUGACCCAUUUUCAUUAUACCGUAACAUUUAAACAAGAUCAUAUGGUGCAGUAUUUUCAGAAUUUGUAAAACAAGCUGAUAACAAUUUCAAAAUAAGAAAUGUUUAGCAGACAUUAAAACAAAUCACCACAAAACGUAAAAGUAAUAACAGUGUUUGUGCUUUAAGUCUUUUAACUGCGAUGGCUAUUUCUCUAUGGGUUUGCAGUUACAAGUUUUGUGUGAAAAUACUGCGUGAACUGUUAUUCCCUCGAUCGCGCGGGGGAAAAUAUAACACAAUCCAAGUCCAAACUAGACGCUGCAAACAUGUCAACCUGUACGACAAAUACUGCAUUUUAUCAGAUGCAACUGGCUUAUUCGAAAAUACCUGCAGGAGCUGUGAGUUGAUAAUUUAGUUUAGUUUCGUGAGUAUGAUGCCUAAUUAGAAACUGGUUCUCAAACAUUCAAUAAGGAGUACGGUAUCUUAUUGAGAGCUUCAGGAGGUGUCCUUCUAAAAUGAGGUUCAUUUGAUGUCUAUGGUGCUAUUAAGGCAUUGCAGUACAGUAUCUGUCGACACCAUGGAUUGAAGAUACUUGAGGAUGAAUAUGCCGUGUCAUAAAGCAAACCUUUACGAUAACAUUUAGCCUUCACAUGGUUGAUUUCAGUGAACGAAAAAGCCGUAUUUUCUCAUGUUACACAACCUCAUGGUUUAAUUUAUUCUCUGCUGGACAUUCGCAGAGUUUGUGGAUACCGAUCAGCUGUCUGAAUAUAAAAGGACUUUCAUCUUGGGGGAGCUGUUAGCACCGUAGGCGUAGAGAUGAGCAUGUUCAUAAGCUUCAUUUGUAUUCUGUGGUUUGUAAUUGAAAUGAGUAGGACUCAAGUUAGACGCAAAGCAUUUUUCCCUUAUUUUUCAGUUUAUGUCAAAGAACGUCUGGCUCUCUGGUUUCCCUUAACUUGCAAUGACGUGAAUAUAUGUACGGUAAAAGACUGUAAUGUAUUGAAUCAUUCGUCCAAAGAGGAGGCAGAGGAAUAUAGUACCGCGCUGCUUUCCCAGAGUCUGUUAUUUAAGUAUUGAGCCAAAAAAGUUGAAGCUUUAAGCGUCCAGCAGGGCGCCGCUGAGGGGUUUCAGCCAGCUGACGAUCAGGAGGCGAAGUGCUCUGCUCAGAC
ensembl:lncRNA